AGCAGCCGCGGUAAUUCCAGCUCCAAUAGCGUAUAUUAAAGUUGUUGCAGUUAAAAAGCUCGUAGUUGAAUUUCGAGACCGGUCUACUGGUCGUGCUUUUGUACGUACUGGUAUAAUCGGUUUCUCUCUUCUGACGAACUAUAAUGCCAUUAAUUUGGUGUUUUAGGGAAUCAGGACUGUUACUUUGAAAAAUUAGAGUGUUUAAAGCAGGCUCACGCUUGAAUACAUUAGCAUGGAAUAACGAAAUAGGACGUUUGAUUCUAUUUUGUUGGUUUCUAGGAUCGACGUAAUGAUUAAUAGGGAUAGUUGGGGGCAUUAGCAUUCAAUUGUCAGAGGUGAAAUUCUUGGAUUUAUUGAAGACUAACUACUGCGAAAGCAUUUGCCAAGGAUGUUUUCAUUAAUCAAGAACGAAAGUUAGGGGAUCGAAGACGAUCAGAUACCGUCGUAGUCUUAACCAUAAAUUAUGCCGACUAGGGAUCGGAUGAUGUUAAAUUAAUGACUCA
rnacentral:rRNA from 1 species